rnacentral:rRNA from 1 species
AAUGAACGCUGGCGGCAUGCCUAACACAUGCAAGUCGAACGGCAGCACAGUAAGAGCUUGCGCUUACGGGUGGCGCGUGGCGGACGGGUGAGGAAUACAUCGGAAUCUUCUCUUUCGUGGGUGAUAACGUAGGGAAACGUAUGCUAAUACCGCAUACGUCCCACGGGUGUAAGCAGGGGAUCUUUUGGCCUUUUGCGAUUGUAUGAGCCGAUGUCGGAUUAGCUAGUUGGCUGGGUAAAGGCCCACCUAGGCGACGAUCCGUAGCUGGUCGGAGAGGAUGGUUAGCCGCACUGGAAGUGAGACAGGGCCCAGACGCCUAGAGGAAGCAGCAGUGCGGAAUACUGAGGAAGGGGCGCGAGCCUGAUCAAGCCAUACCGCGUGAGGGAUGAAGGCCUUCGGGUGGUAGAGCCCUGUUGUUGGGAGAGAAAAGCAGCAGGUUUAUACCGAGGUGUGAUGACGGUACCCAAAGAAUAAGCACCGGCUAACUUCGUG